UACAGAGGUCUCAAGCGUUGUUCGGAUUCAUUGGGCGUAAAGGGUGCGUAGGCGGCGCGGUAAGUCGGGUGUGAAAUCUCGGGGCUUAACUCCGAAACUGCAUUCGAUACUGCCGUGCUUGAGGACUGGAGAGGAGACUGGAAUUUACGGUGUAGCGGUGAAAUGCGUAGAUAUCGUUAAGGGAAGACCAGUGGCGAAGGCGGGUCUCUGGACAGUUCCUGACGCUGAGGCACGAAGGCCAGGGGAGCAAACGGG
rnacentral:rRNA from 1 species